GGAGCUAUUGGCUUUGAAUUGUAUUGUGGAAAUGUAUUACCAACAGAGGUGCAGGUGCCAGCCUAUUGAAAUAAAGCGUCAAUGAGGGUGAGAAUCCUGUUUGUCAUGUGCAGCCCUUUGUGCACGGUGUAUAUUUGCUGAGUCACACUCCUUGGCAUUGGAAUGCAAAGUGGGUGGUAAGUUUCAUGUAAAGGUAAACAUGCAAUUGAGACUGAUAGCACACAAGUACCAUGAGGGAAAUAUGAAAAGGACUUUGAAAAGAGAAUUAAAUGAGUUUGUAUUUGCUGAACACAAAGUAAACAGACUUGAUUUGCUUGGUGGGAGUGUUGCACUUGCUUGACAAGAGCUUUGGGCUGUGGGUGUAAUGAUUCUUUCUUUGCAUGCCAGUUUCUAUUUGUACAUCUGAUUACCUUUGCACAUGAAUGAUAAGUCUCCUGUGGGGGGUGGAUUGCAUGUGCAUGUAAUGAUUUGUGUUUUGAUAAAUGUGUCUGGUGUAUGUGUGUGUUCCUGUGCUUGGGGAUGCUUCCUUCCUUGGACUUACAAGCCCUGACACACACAUGCUGGCAAAAUGCUUCUGCUUGACCCGUCUUGAAACACGGACCAAGGAGUCUAACAGAUGUGCAAAGUUUGAAGGUGGUAUACCUUUGUGUGCAAUGAAAGUGUCAGCUGGGAUAUGUGCACCAGCACCCAAUUAAUUAGCGGACAGAGGUUUGAGUUGGAGCAUAUCUAUUAGGACCCGAAAGAUGGUGAACUAUGCCUGAACAGAAUGAAUUCAGAGGAAACUCUGAUGGAGGUUCGUAUCGAUACUGACGUGCAAAUCGUUCGUCAUAUUUGGGUAUAGGGGCGAAAGACUAAUCGAACCAUCUAGUAGCUGGUUCCCUCCGAAGUUUCCCUCAGGAUAGCUGGAGUUGCUCAGUUUUAUCAGGUAAAGCGAAUGAUUAGAGGAAUUGGGGACAGGUUUGU
rnacentral:rRNA from 1 species